rnacentral:rRNA from 2 species
UGGGGAAUAUUGGACAAUGGGCGCAAGCCUGAUCCAGCCAUGCCGCGUGAGUGAUGAAGGCCUUAGGGUUGUAAAGCUCUUUUAUCCGGGACGAUAAUGACGGUACCGGAGGAAUAAGCCCCGGCUAACUUCGUGCCAGCAGCCGCGGUAAUACGAAGGGGGCUAGCGUUGCUCGGAAUCACUGGGCGUAAAGGGCGCGUAGGCGGGCUUUUAAGUCGGGGGUGAAAGCCUGUGGCUCAACCACAGAAUUGCCUUCGAUACUGGGAGACUUGAGUUCGGAAGAGGUUGGUGGAACUGCGAGUGUAGAGGUGAAAUUCGUAGAUAUUCGCAAGAACACCGGUGGCGAAGGCGGCCAACUGGUCCGACACUGACGCUGAGGCGCGAAAGCGUGGGGAGCAAACAGG